GACGAACGCUGGCGGCGUGCUUAACACAUGCAAGUCGAACGGAAAGGCCCCUUUUGGGGUACUCGAGUGGCGAACGGGUGAGUAACACGUGAGUAACCUUCCCUUGACUUCGGGAUAACUUCAGGAAACUGGGGCUAAUACCGGCUAGGAAUCCUUGCUGCAUGGUGGGGGUUGGAAAGCUUCGGCGGUUUUGGAUGGACUGGCGGCUUAUCAGCUUGUUGGUGGGGUAGUGGCUUACCAAGGCGUUGACGGGUAGCCGGCCUGAGAGGGCGACCGGCCACAUUGGGACUGAGAGAAGGCCCAGACUCCUACGGGAGGCAGCAGUGGGGAAUAUUGCACAAUGGGCGGAAGCCUGAUGCAGCAACGCCGCGUGCGGGAUGACGGCCUUCGGGUUGUAAACCGCUUUCAGCAGGGGCGAAGCUUGUGGUGACGGUACCUGCAGAAGAAGCACCGGCUAACUACGUG
rnacentral:rRNA from 1 species